rnacentral:rRNA from 1 species
AUUGAACGCUGGCGGCAGGCCUAACACAUGCAAGUCGAACGGUAACAGGAAGCAGCUUGCUGCUUUGCUGACGAGUGGCGGACGGGUGAGUAAUGUCUGGGAAACUGCCUGAUGGAGGGGGAUAACUACUGGAAACGGUAGCUAAUACCGCAUAACGUCGCAAGACCAAAGAGGGGGACCUUCGGGCCUCUUGCCAUCGGAUGUGCCCAGAUGGUAUUAGCUAGUAGGUGGGGUAACGGCUCACCUAGGCGACGAUCCCUAGGUGGUCUGAGAGGAUGACAGGCGACACUGGAACUGAGACACGGUCCAGACUCCUACGGGAGGCAGCAGUGGGGAAUAUUGCACAAUGGGCGCAAGCCUGAUGCAGCGAUGCCGCGUGUAUGAAGAAGGCCUUCGGGUUGUAAAGUACUUUCAGCGGGGAGGAAGGGAGUAAAGUUAAUACCUUUGCUCAUUGACGGUACCCGCAGAAGAAGCACCGGCUAACUACGUG